rnacentral:lncRNA from 1 species
AUUUUCCUUAUUUAAAUACACUUUCUUUUUUUUAUUUGCCCCUCUAAGUCAAAAAAUUUUAUUCAUAACACGUAGUUUAAAAUUUAUGUUCCCUUUUGGUGUUAUUUGACACUAUAUUUUUGUUACAUAUUUUAUAGUUAUGUCAGAAGUACAAUAUUAGGAUUUAGAAAUUAUAUAUCGUUAUAUUUAUGUAUAUGUAUGUACGUGCGUAUGUUAACACCUUAAAUAAAAAAGGCUUUUUUGUAUCAUUAUUUUAGUUUUGUUAUUUAGAAACUAGUUUUAAUUUUUUUGUUUUUAAGUAUUUUCAUUAAUAUUAUUAACAUUAAUAACGAAAAUGGAAAAUAUAUAUGAUAGAUACUUUAAACAAAAAAAUAAAACUUUUGAAUUUUCUUCUGAAAAAAUAAACGAUUUGUUAAAUAAUAAAAAAACAAUAAGAAUAUAUCCGCAAAAAGGAUAUGUCAUAAAAACUUAUGAAAAAAAUGGCGGAAAAGUUUAUUUUAAUAUAUGCUCUUCUAAUCUAAUUGCUGAAUUCCACUUAAAAAAAAUUCCAGACCUAAAUAACGAAGAAGGAGUAAGAGUUCCAUUAAGUAUAGGUGAAGAAAAAAAUAAAGAAGACAAAAAAGGAAACAAAUAUAAAACAUAUGAUAUUGUUCUUAAUACAAAAGUUGUCGCACAAAGUAAAACAAAUUUGCAGCUAAAAAGAGUUAUAGCUGAAUUAGUCCAGGUAGCUAUACAAAAUAAAUACAAAACAGAAACUUGCACGAAUUUGUUUUUUUUUCCUGAACAUAAAUACAAAGGUUCUAAUCCAGAUGAUCAUUUUAUAAAAGAUGAUCAACAACAUAAAUUUAAAAUUGUAGAGGAAAAUGAUGAAGAAUUAAAUGGAAAAACUGGAAAUGUGCAUGACAAGAAUGAUGAAAGUAAAAAUGAUAAGAACAGUGUUAACAAUCAAAAUAACAAUAACCUAAAAGAUAUUGAGAACAUAAAAAAUUACUUAGCAGUUAAAAAACCUGAAUGGGAUAUGUGGUUUGUUAAUAA